GAGGGGCCCGCGUCCGAUUAGCUAGUUGGUGGGGUAACGGCUCACCAAGGCAACGAUCGGUAGCCGGCCUGAGAGGGCGGACGGCCACACUGGGACUGAGACACGGCCCAGACUCCUACGGGAGGCAGCAGUGGGGAAUUGUUCGCAAUGGGCGCAAGCCUGACGACGCAAUGCCGCGUGGAGGAUGAAGAUCUUCGGGUCGUAAACUCCUGUCGAGCGGGACGAAUGGCCCGGGACCUAAUACGUUCCGGGAGUGACGGUACCGCUAAAGGAAGCCCCGGCUAACUCCGUGCCAGCAGCCGCGGUAAUACGGGGGGGGCAAGCGUUGUUCGGAAUUACUGGGCGUAAAGGGCGCGUAGGCGGCCCUCUAAGUCGGACGUGAAAUCCCUCGGCUCAACCGGGGAACUGCGUCCGAUACUGGAGGGCUUGGAUCCGGGAGAGGGAUGCGGAAUUCCAGGUGUAGCGGUGAAAUGCGUAGAUAUCUGGAGGAACACCGGUGGCGAAGGCGGCAUCCUGGACCGGCAUCGACGCUGAGGCGCGAAAGCCAGGGGAGCAAACGGGAUUAGAUACCCCGGUAGUCCUGGCCCUAAA
rnacentral:rRNA from 1 species